rnacentral:lncRNA from 1 species
UGGCGCGCGGCAGCAGGGUUGGGCUCUCGCCGUGAGUCGACGAAGGGAGCGCGGGCGCGCGCCCGCGUCCGCGCACUGAGAGUCGCCUCGGCCGCUCGCUUUCUCGACUCCCGCCUCGCGCCUCGAUCCUGUUCCGCCUCCCUCGGCCCUCCUGCCCGCCCCCACUCGUCGGCCCUCAGGUACCUAAAAUGUCUCAUUAUUCAUCAAUUAAUGAAAAACAAAUGAAAAUUUGAGAGAGAUAUUCUGAAGAAUAAAAGGAUCAAGUUGGGUCAUUUCUAAAAUCUCAGAGACCUAAUAGGAUGGGGUCUUAGAGAAACAUCUUUUGAGCCACAGACUUCUUUGUUACCAGAAGGAAAAUGAAAGAAGAAAUUUAAAUACCACUUGAAGAGAGUUUCCUCAUCAGCAAAGUCAGAAAAAGUAUGUACCUGAAGGACUGAUUGUAAGGCUGGGAUGAGAGAAUCCAUGUGAUCAGCCCUCACCAACAGGUGCUGCCCAGUUCAUGAGUGCUGCUGCUGUCCUGCCCAAGUACCCAGCUUGCAGAGUGCCAGAGUUAGAGUCCCAGGGGUGUUCUCCACAGCUGCAUGCUUGAUCCAGGCCUAUCAGAUAUAUUCCAUUGAAAGUCCUCAUUCUCAAAUUUAAAACAAAGACUUUUUGUGUACCUCAAUAGCAAUGCACACACAGUUGGCUUCACAAACAUAUUGUACAUUUCUUUUUUUCAUAUUUAUUCAACAAAUGUAUAUUGACUACCCACCGUGUGACAGGUGUUAUUUGUUGACGGAACCAGGCAUCAUCAGCAAACAAAACUGACAAAGCUUCCUGCCCUCUGUGGAAGGCAUCUGAGGAAGAGACUGGAUUUUGUAGCAACAUGUUAUUCUCAUUAUAAACUUUAUCAUUGGAAUACUAAAGCCAAAUCAUCCCCCAUCUCCUUGAUCAGGAUACCCACUUAAUCUAGGCAGCUACACAAUUGUGAGAGCCUUUGUUUUUUUCUGCUGAAACAUCCUUAAAAAGAUACCUCACAACCCAAGAUUUGGCUUUUCUUAAAUACGAUUUUUAAUUUUUUUCAUUUCUAUCUAGAGAUUUAAUUGGAAAUGGAAAAUCAUCAAUUUUCCAAUUAAAUGUCUGUUCCAAUCAACAUUAUACCUUUUAGGUUGUCAUUGUCAUUUUUAAGUUUAAGCAACUUUAAGGAUUUUGAAUCUGGCUGCCUGUAAAUUAAAGGUGAAAGUAAUCAUUGUGUUGGAUUGGAACAUUUUGUCAAUUGAGAGUGGUUUCCUUGUUCUUAGUGUAUGAAAAGUUUAUUUUUCUAAUGUAGAUUAAUAAAGGAGAUAAAGAAAAACAAAA